GCAAGUCGAACGGUAACAUUGGUGCUUGCAUCAGAUGACGCGUGGCGCACGGGUGCGUAACGCGUAUGCAAUCUGCCCUUUUCUGGAAUAUAGCCCUUGGAAACGAGGAAUAAUACGCCAUAGUAUAACGAUUUCGCAUGUUAUUGUUAUUAAAGCUCCGGCGGAAAAGGAUGAGCAUGCGUCCCAUUAGCUAGUUGGUAAGGUAAUGGCUUACCAAGGCAACGAUGGGUAGGGGGCCUGAGAGGGUGAAC
rnacentral:rRNA from 1 species